rnacentral:tRNA from 1 species
GUCCCCGUAGUUCAACGGAUAGAACGGGAGCCUUCUAAGCUCUUAAUGUGGGUUCGAUUCCUGCCGGGGACA